rnacentral:lncRNA from 1 species
UUUUAGAUGAAUAACAAAAUGAGUUCAAAUUUUUAUUUGUGUUGACUACCACCAGCAGCGACCCGUGGGAAGUAAGUGAAAAGCAAGUAUUCCUAUUUUGACUACACAUUCUAAUGUAUUGGUUAUUUAUAUUUAUGAUCACCAACUAUUAUCUAUUAGACUUCUCCGGAUUUAACUGUUUAGGAAGUGAGCUGUAGACAUACAGAAACCAAGGAUUAUUUUGAGCCAAUAAACAGUGACUUGACCAACCGAAUGCCUUGUGUGGUUAUUAAUCAUUCCAUAUCACCAUCAUCAAAAGACACUGUGCAUCUACUCAGCUGGGCCAGGGGAUUAAAGGUUUACGAAAGAGUCCCUCCUUGCCUUUAAACGGUUUAAAGUCUGUUUGAGGAUGGGUCCAAAUACAUAAAAUGAUGAAUAACAAAGCGAAGAACAUGCUGAAAUCUGGACUGACAAAAGAAAAGGGCCAAAGGGCUUGUUUUUACUGGAAGUAUUUUUGCAUAAGCUGGGAAGGGAGUUUGCAUCUUCUGGACUCAUAGAUCAGACAAAUGAGCAGCUUCAACAAAGCAGAUUUAUGCUAUCCACCAGGAGGGUUUUGCUUAGUUGUCAGUUGUGGACUUUCUUCCAAAAAUGCAGCUGUUUUGAAGCAAGAAAUCCGGGCGCCCUGAAGCCCAGCGCAAGCAAGCGAGUGAGCGCGCAGGCUGGCUGGGCUGCUCCAGCUGGAAGUCAUUGUG